ACGCGGAUGUGGGAGUUGCUCUCUGAGUACAACAGGCAGCCUUCUGUCUGUCUGUGUGUGUGUGUUGUUGUUUACAAAACAUUUUUUUUUAUUACUACACGUGUCCGUUUAAUAUUGAAAUGAGUAACAGUUUCUGCUCAGGGCUGUGGUGGAUCUCAGGAACACACCAGUCCAUUACAGGGCAAUCCACUUACCUGCCUUUGAGUGGACAAGAAAUCCACAUGGAGAACAUGCGAACCAAAAACCCUAGCGCUGUGGACAGCAACCUUACCCACUGCACUCGACCAGCUGUUGCAAUGAACAAUUUGUCAACUGUCCUCUUCACCAUCCACCAGUGGUCAACCACUAGUGAACUAUUCCCAGCACAGUCUAGACUUGAUACUAUUUACUAAGUUCAUUUGGCAAUAUUCAAAUUAUUACUGAUUGAUGUAGUCUCCACAAUCCGAUUGGCCAAUUCAGAUUAAGACAAUAUUCUGAUUCCCCAAAUUCUGAUUCCCACCCCUGGAAUAUAUCUGUUUUAAUUGGAAAUUUGUUGCAUGUAAACAACUUGUUCAGAAAAUAACUGAAAGGAGAUAUAGGUGCAUGCAUAGUCCGCAAGGAAUUAUGGGUGCUAACAGAUGUACACAGGAAAAUUCCGAUGCCUGUACACAUAUAAACGUAUUUGGAAUAUGUCUGCAACCCGAAUAUAGACCUUAAAUGGAAUUUGAUGUGCAUGUAAUUUAUUCAAUGACAGGGCAGGUGAGGCUUUAGUAGAGGAGACUGACAAACCACAUGACAGCACAGUUCCAGUCUGUUACAGUCAGUAAUUGUGUACCUAAAUGUGCACCUAUAUGAAAGGUGUAUACCUCCUAACAGGUGUAUAAACAGGAUGUCUAGACACAAUCCUUGCAAGUCUCAAACUUCCAAAAUCCCUCCAAGAGCACAGCAACUACUCAUCCAUCAAAUCACAAAAGAGCCAAGGACAACAUCGAAGGACCUACAGGACCCUCAUCGAUAAUGGUAACUGUUCAUGACUCCACUAUCAGAAAGACAAUGGGCAAAAAUGGCAUCCAUGGAAGAGUAGCAAGGUGAAACCAAUGCUAACCCAGAAGAACAUUAAGCCUCAUGUGAAUUUUGCCAAAAUACAUUUUGAUGAUCCUCAAACCUUUUCUGAGAAUGUUUUAUGGACUGAUGAGUCGAAACUGGAACUGUUUGUAACACAGGGGUCCCUUUAAAUCUGAUGUAACCAAACACAGAAGUAAAGAAAAAGAACAUCAUACCUACGGUCAAGCAUGGUGGUGGGAGUGUGAUGGUUUGGGGAUGCUUUGCUGCUUCAGGGCCUGGGCAAGUUGCAAUAAUUGAUGGAAACAUGAAUUCUGCUCUGUACCAAAAAAUCCUAAAUGUCCAGUCUUCAGUCCAUGAAUUGAAACUUGAAUGCAACUGGAUUAGACAUGAUCCAAAACAUAGAAGUAAAUCCUAGUCCUAGAAGUUAGUGAAUGACUGAUCUCCAGUUAUCCGAAGUAUUUGGUUGCAGUUAUUGCUGCUAAGGGGGCAAUAUGUUUUUCACAUUGUUCAUAGGUGUUGGAUAACUUCUUUUGCUUCAAUAAAUAAAUAAAUAAAUAAAAAUUGUAUUGUGUGUUUA